rnacentral:misc_RNA from 1 species
AACGCACGAGACCUGCGGACCUGCGGAAGGAUCAUUAACGAGAAAACUGCCCUUUGGGUAGAUCUCCCCACCCUUUGUUUACAUUACCUUUGUUGCUUUGGCAGGCCCGUCUUCUGACCGCCGGCUUUUAGCUGGUCCGUGCCUGCCAGAGGACCUAAAACUCUUGAUUUUUAAGUUGUCCGAGUCCAUAUAUAUAAUAGUAAAAACUUUUAACAACGGAUCUCUAGAUCGGAAGAGCAC